rnacentral:rRNA from 1 species
GAUGAACGCUAGCUACAGGCUUAACACAUGCAAGUCGAGGGGAAACGAUAUUGGAAGCUUGCUUCCGAUAGGCGUCGACCGGCGCACGGGUGAGUAACGCGUAUCCAACCUGCCCAUCACUUGGGGAUAACCUUGCGAAAGUAAGACUAAUACCCAAUGAUAUCUCUAGAAGACAUCUGAAAGAGAUUAAAGAUUUAUCGGUGAUGGAUGGGGAUGCGUCUGAUUAGCUUGUUGGCGGGGUAACGGCCCACCAAGGCGACGAUCAGUAGGGGUUCUGAGAGGAAGGUCCCCCACAUUGGAACUGAGACACGGUCCAAACUCCUACGGGAGGCAGCAGUGAGGAAUAUUGGUCAAUGGGCGAGAGCCUGAACCAGCCAAGUAGCGUGCAGGAUGACGGCCCUAUGGGUUGUAAACUGCUUUUAUAAGGGAAUAAAGUGAGUCUCGUGAGACUUUUUGCAUGUACCUUAUGAAUAAGGACCGGCUAAUUCCGUGCCAGCAGCCGCGGU